GACGAACGCUGGCGGCGUGCCUAAUACAUGCAAGUAGAACGCUGAAGAAAGGAGCUUGCUUCUUUUGGAUGAGUUGCGAACGGGUGAGUAACGCGUAGGUAACCUGCCUUGUAGCGGGGGAUAACUAUUGGAAACGAUAGCUAAUACCGCAUAACAGCUUUUGACACAUGUUAGAAGCUUGAAAGAUGCAAUUGCAUCACUACGGGAUGGACCUGCGUUGUAUUAGCUAGUAGGUAGGGUAACGGCCUACCUAGGCGACGAUACAUAGCCGACCUGGGAGGGUGAUCGGCCACACUGGGACUGAGACACGGCCCAGACUCCUACGGGAGGCAGCAGUAGGGAAUCUUCGGCAAUGGGGGCAACCCUGACCGAGCAACGCCGCGUGAGUGAAGAAGGUUUUCGGAUCGUAAAGCUCUGUUGUAAGAGAAGAACGUGUGUGAGAGUGGAAAGUUCACACGGUGACGGUAACUUACCAGAAAGGGACGGCUAACUACGUGCCAGCCGCCGCCGUAACAC
rnacentral:rRNA from 1 species